UAAUACAUAGGGGGCGAGCGUUAUUCGGAAUUACUGGGCGUAAAGGGUGCGUAGGCGGUUUCUUAAGUCUAGUGUGAAAGCCCACGGCUUAACCGUGGAGGGUCAUUAGAAACUGGGAGACUUGAGUACAGCAGAGGUAAGUGGAAUUUCUAGUGGAGCGGUGAAAUGCGUAGAUAUUAGAAGGAACACCAGUGGCGAAGGCGGCUUACUGGGCUGGAACUGACGCUGAGGCACGAAAGCGUGGGGAGCAAACAGGAUUAGAUACCCUGGUAGUCCACGCCGUAAACGAUGAGCACUAAGUAUCGGGUGAGAACUCGGUGCUGCAGUUAACGCAUUAAGUGCUCCGCCUGGGGAGUACGGUCGCAAGACUGAAACUCAAAGGAAUUGACGGGAACUCGCACAAGCGGUGGAGCAUGCGGUUUAAUUCGAUGCAACCCGAAAAACCUUACCAGGUCUUGACAUCCCGCUGACAGGUCUAGAGAUAGACCCUUCCUUCGGGACAGUGGAGACAGGUGGUGCAUGGUUGUCGUCAGCUCGUGUCGUGAGAUGUUGGGUUAAGUCCCGCAACGAGCGCAACCCUCGUCACUAGUUGCUAACAUUAAGUUGAGGACUCUAGUGAGACUGCCGAUGACAAAUCGGAUGAAGGUGAGGAUGACGUCAAAUCAUCAUGCCCCUUAUGACCUGGGCUACACGCGUGCUACAAUGGCCAGUACAAAGAGUUGCGAAGCCGUGAGGUGGAGCUAAUCUCAAAAAGCUGGUCUCAGUUCGGAUUGUAGUCUGCAACUCGACUACAUGAAGGCGGAAUCGCUAGUAAUCGUGAAUCAGCAUGUCACGGUGAAUACGUUCUCGAGUUUUGUACACACCGCCCGUCACACCAUGAGAGUCUGUAAUACCCGAAACCGGUGGCCUAACCCGCAAGGGAGGGAGCCGUCUAAGGUAGGACAGAUGAUUGGGGUG
rnacentral:rRNA from 1 species